ensembl:lncRNA
AUGGAAUCCAAAGUGUCUGAAGGGGGCCUGAAUGUGACCCUGACCAUCCGGCUGCUCAUGCAUGGAAAGGAAGUCGGGAGCAUCAUCGGGAAGGUAAUUGUCCCACGAGUGUCCUCGUGUCUCCCAUCCGGUAAUGCACACGCGUGGGGGCUCCGGGGGUCUGAAUGGCGGCGAAAAGCCAUCCGUGGCUCCGUGGCCGGAGGCCCCCCGCCCCCUUCGUCGCCGGGCUCUCUGCCUUGCACCAACAAGGAGGGAGGCAGCCCCAGGGCCGGGCCGCGAGCCCGGGGGCUCCUUUUCUCUUGGAGCACAGCGCGGAGGGGGGCUGAGCCCGCUCAGGGCCAUCUCGGAAACGCGGAUUUCCUGGGACGUGGGCGAGGGCGGAGAGGGCUCGGGGGCGAGGAGGCAGCCAGGUGGCUCGGUGGACCGAGGCCAGCCUUGGAGCCAGGAGGCUCUGAGUUCAGAUUCCGUCUCAGACACGUACGCGCUGGCCCUGCCUUCGUCCCCUGGAGAAGGAGCGGGCGACCCUCGCAGUCUCUCGAGGCGAGCCCCGGGACAAGAGAACGGCGGGAUGAAAAGCGGAACCUCAGAGCCGGCGAAAGCAGCCCCCCGUUCACAGCGGAGCGAGCCGAGGCCAGAACUGCGUGGCCCGAGGAAGGCCUCCCAGGGCGCGAGCCGGAACUCUCAGCCAUGAGGGAUCGGCGUGCGCUCAACCCCCGGCACGCUUUGGAGGCUGCGCAGGGCCCGUCCCAGGAGGUCCAACAAGCCCCUCCCACCCCAGGGAACAAGGACGAUCCGGGCCUUGGGUGGCCCCCAGGCUCCGUGGGAGAAGAUGGGGGCGGGGCGGAGCUCUCGGGCUCUCCACUGGCCCGUCCAGGGAGGACUUGGCAGGACCAGAGAAGGCUGCAGAGGGCGGAGAAGGGCCUCCGUCCGGGGGCUUCGGCUCCUUCAAGGGCUCUCCUGGGGGAAGCGAGAGGCCUCCUCUGCCUGGGGUCGGGCCAAGCCAGAGGAUGCCACAAAUGAAAGCAUCCCCAAAGCGCAACAGGCUGCUGCGGGGAGAGGCGGCCACUCCUCCCCCCUGUGCGGCCACGGCCAAGCCCGGGGGACCCAGAGCCUGCUGUCACGGAGCCCCCUCAAACUGGGAGACGCUAGAUAAAAGGAAGCUACAAGCCAGAGGGAGACGGUCCUCCGCCACACACAGACACAGACACAUUCACACACAGGCACACAGGUUCACAGACACACUCACACAGACACACUCAUACCCUGGGGAGACAGAGUAAAACUCCAGAGAGGCCUGGAGGAUGCCCCUGGCCGCCCUGGGAAGCUUCCUUGUCAGGGAGGUUCUUGGGGGGCUGUGGGUGAGGUAACCUGCCAGGGUAGGAAGACUUCCGGGACUGGUGGAGAGGCCGCUUGUCUCGUGGAGGGGGGGGGGGGUUCUAGGUCCGGUCCCCGAAGCCCCUGCGGCUGGGCCGCCCUUCAUCUCUCACCUCCUCCGGGCCGGUGAGGGAGGCUGAGCUGGACGGGCUCCUAGGUCAGAGCUCGCUUCUCCUGGGCACACGGGCUUCUCGGUGGACCACGAGAACAUCCUGGCCUCUGCGGGGCUCUGAGGGACGCAGGGAGGGGCAGCUGGUCCCCCCGCAGCAGCCCAGGCCCCCCCAUCCCCCUCCUUUAAGAGAGGACAUCAUUCUGGCUGGCCUUCCACAAGGUCCCCCGUCCCGCUGGGCGGCUUCGUGGAACAUUUUCCCUUUUCCAGAUGCUUCCUUAGGAGCCCCAGCUAGCUCCGUGGGAGGGAAGGAAGGGAGGGAGGGAGACGUCCAGGGAAGUGGCUCGCGCUCCUUACAUCUACCCGGGGGACCGAACCACCUUUCUGUGGAGAGACAACCCUUCGAAGACGAGAAAAAGGCCACCAUUGUGGCAGCUCCCCAACCAUCCCCGGGCUUGUUCACCAGGACUUCUGGGCCUCAGGGGCCAGAGCACGGGUUGGCAGAGAAUCCCCUUGGUCCCCAUUGGGGAAUGGGGA